AUGGCGUCGGCGGCGCCCAAGCGCUGCUACUACGAGGUCCUCGGACUCUCCCGAGACUGCUCCCCGACCGACAUUAAGCUCGCGUUCCGGCGCCUCGCGCUCACCCUCCACCCCGACAAGCAGGCCCCGGGUUCCGACGUCGCCGCCGCCACCGCCGCCUUCCAGGAGCUGCAACACGCGCACUCCGUCCUCUCCGACCCCCAGGAGCGCGCCUACUACGACUCCCACCGCUCCCAGAUCCUCUUCGCCGACCCCGUCUCCUCCCGUUCCGGCACCGCCUCCGCCUCACCCGUCCCCGACCUAUUCUCCUUCUUCUCCACCUCCGCCUUUUCCGGCUUCUCCGACUCCGGCCGCGGAUUCUACAAGGUCUACGGCGACGUAUUCGACAAGGUAUACGCCCAGGAGGUCGCCUAUGCCCGCCGCAUGGGCAUCCCCACCGACUCCAUCCCCACGCCGCCGGUCAUUGGCAACCUCGACUCCCCUUACACCCAGGUCACCGCUUUCUACUCCUACUGGCUGGGUUUCGGCUCGGUUAUGGACUUCGGGUGGGCGGCCGAGUGGGACGCAUCCCGUGGGGAGAACCGCCGUGUUAGGAGGCUCAUGGAGGAGGAUAACAAGAAGGCAAUGCGCAAGGCGCGGCGGGAGUAUAACGAUGCUGUGAGAGGGUUGGCUGCCUUCUGUAAGAAGAGAGAUAAGAGGGUGGUUGACAUGGCACUGCGGAAGAAGGCAGAGGAAGAGAAAAAGAAGAAGGAAGAGAUGGAGCGAAAGAAGGCCGAGGAGAAGAAGAAGAAGGAGCGGGCAAUGGCGUAUCAAGAGCCUGAGUGGGCGAGGGUGGACGACAUCGAGUUAGCCUUUGAGGAAGAGGAUGAUGAGGAGACGAGGGAAAAGGCCAAGGAGGAGCUGUACUGUGUGGCCUGUAAUAAGAAGUUCAAGUCGGAGAAGCAGUGGAAGAACCAUGAGCAGUCUAGGAAGCAUAAGGAUAAGGUGGCUGAUCUGAGGAUGGCCUUUAAGGAGGAGGAGGCGGCUCUAAAGGAAGCCGAGGAGGAGGCAGGAGGUGAGUGGGAAGAAGUUGAUGUGGGGUUCGACUUUAAGCCUGCUAACGAGUCCGAGGAGAGUGAUUGGUCAGAUGCUGCAGAAGAGUUGGCUGAGGAGUUGGACGAGGGCUUGGAGGUGGCGGAUCAAGACAAUGGUAAUAAGGACUUCAAUAAUGGGGAGCAGGAGGUUGGUUCAUAUGAUGAGACGAGUGUGUUGGAGGCGAUGUUGUCAAGCUGUAAGAACAAGAAAAGUGGCUAUGUGGUUCCUCAAGAGGAAGCUCCUUCUGUUCUUACAGAGGAUGAUAACAGUGAAGAUAGAAAUUCUGAAGUUAAGAGUGUCAAGAAGAAAGGACGCCGGAGGCGGGCAUCAAAGAAGGGACAAGAUGAAGGUAGUUAUGCUGAUAGUGGACAUGGUAUGAAGAAUGAUGUUCCAAAUGAGGAAUCUGUGCAUGAUAAUGAUGAAAAUGAUGCUGAUGAUAAGGCGGAAGGUCCACCCUCUUCUAAUGAUGAUGGCACAUCAGCAAGCGUUGGAGGCCAACAGAACGAAAAGACUGACAAUCCUAAAAAGAAUAAAAAGAACAAGAAAGGCGCAGAGAAGAAAACAACUGUUUCUGCUGACGUAAAGAUCACAUCAAAGGGAAAGAAGCAAAAGGAGGUCUCGAGGGCACGCAAUGAUUGUGAAACAUGUGGAGAUACUUUCGAGUCAAGGAGCAAGUUGUUUUCUCAUUUGGAAGAAACAGGUCAUGCUGUGAUCAAGGCACGACAGAAAAAGCGUUAA
rnacentral:rRNA from 1 species